rnacentral:misc_RNA from 1 species
CUCAACAACAGUAAAUUCUUCAACUUUAUUAAAAUAUUAACAAGUUAUGUACUUACAUAUAUCUUUAUCAAACAAAAGCACUAGCAAAGCAAUUUCUCCACCUUCAAUCGUAAAAACUGAAAAUGAAGAGUCAAGUUGCAUCAUAGUAUAAGUAACUAUCUGUGAAAAAGGUAAGAAGGAUAUGGACAUAAAAGAUUUUUCUAAAUCCACAUUACAACAAGGCCAAGAGACCAUGUAAGUACGCUAUUCAUCUUUUUAUUUACUAACCAACUUUCCUCAUCCACAUCAUUUUGCAACAUUUCCUUCCUUUGCUAAUUGUCAUCAUCUAAUCAGUUAACCAAGUUCAUUGAUAAUAUGUAUCUCUAGGACAACACAAAUUUCUUUGAGCAGCAACAAAAACAAAAUAUUUCAAAACUUAAACCACUCAUUGCGAAUUUCUAGUCCUCUUGGCUGUGAACAGUUGGCGAAGGAAAGCAAACUUUCCUCUUGCACGAGCAGAAAACUCAGCCAUGGUGCCACUGCUUGAUGCCGCUGUCUCAUGGGUAUCAGAUUCUGGGACAGAUGUUGAUGGUGCAGAAAGAGUGAAAAGGAAUGCAUUGAGCAUACGGAUGAUCUGACUGAAACUGGGCCUCAAAUUAGGGUCUUCGACCCAACAUGACUGAAUGAUAAAUGCAAGAUCAGGGGAUAUGUCUUCCGGAAGACUAGGCCUCUCUUGCUGCAUUCUCAAAUGCGAAGAGUUUACAAAUUAUAAAACAUACAACUUAGUUAUGAUAGCAAUAGCACGUUAUGUAGCUUCAGCAAGGAUAACCCUUUAACAGUAUGACCAAAUGACACAAAAACAAUAUUAUCUUUCUUUAUAUAAGACUGCAGUUGGCACAAUUAUCUUUCCAUCUAAAGUUGCAAAUCCCAAAUUAAGCGAAUAGAAAACAUAACUGCACAUAGAUAUCUAUACUAACUGGCAAAUUUUUUUCACCUUAAAAGCAGCUGCGUAAGCAGCCUGCAAAUUUGACAUGCCUUCAAAUGGCAUGCGGUUGGUCAGCAACUCCCAUAAGACGAUUCCAAAACUGUAGACAUCAACCUUGUUAUUGUAAUGCUUCUUCUCUCCCUGCCGCAAUGUCACAGUACUAUACAACUGCAAAGCCAUUGUUAGCAGAAGAGUUGAACAAUGAAGCAGUAAAUAUUAUAUCCCUUACAAUAAAAUAAAGAUAAAAAGAAAAAUAACGGUGCUAAAAUUUAAUGUGUUUAGCCUGGCAAUUUCACACCCAUAAAUCAACUGAUAUCAAAGAACAUCAGUGUUGUAACUUUGUUACAUAUUAGUGCUUUGAAGUGCAGUGCUAUGUCAAAAUGGGAUUUCAUGAUCCCAUUAGGCAAAAUUGUAAACAAAGUUGUUGAAACAAUAAAUAUUUGUUGUAAGGAAAAAAAUGUGGUAUAUUUGUUUUAAAGAUGAAAUUUACGUAAAAAGCUUCCAUUUAGAUUCCCCCAAAGGGCUAAUGAAGAAUGAAAAAUAUGAACCCUUGCCAAAGUGGGAUAGGAAAAGAACCAUUAAGUAAAACAAUUCAGUUAGGUAAGAAGUAUGUUCAUAUUUGCCAGAAAAUUACAUAGUUGACAUGCCUUUUGUAGUAUUACAUUCUUUAAGAUAUAUAUCAAAGCAAUAUAUGCAAGUUCCAUUACUCACAUCAGGUCAUAAAUAAAACUAAAACAAUCAAAUUAUGUAAGCACAAAGGCACGAACCUCAGGAGCCAUCCAACGGUAAGUCCCAGUUUCAGCAGUCAUCAUUUCAGUCACUGAUUCUUCUCUUGCAAGACCAAAAUCUGCAAGCUUCAGAGACUUCUGAUUUGAGGUAAGCAACAAAUUAUCUGCAUUUAAUGGUUAAAUUUUGUACAUCAUUGGUGAAAGCAUUGAAGACAUGAUCAUAAACUGCACAGGAAUGCCAUCCAUAAAAUGGAAUUCACUCUCCUUUUCCAAUAGCACAGAUUUGCAUUGAUCUUAACUAUAUUGUUAAACCCAACUCUAAUUGCAAUGACUGAGACAUUUAGGACUAUAGAAUAAACUUAAAUGGGAACUGAACUAAACCUCCAUUAGCUGUUUCAAUAAUCUAAUUGGAUUAUGCAUAGAAUGGUGCAAUAGGUCGAAAAUGACACAAAUAUGACUCUUUCACAAACAAUUACUAGUGCCAGAUACUGUCAACUUCAGUGUACAUGUAGUCAUAGAGACGAUAUGAAAAGUUGCAGGACUCUAGAUAGGCUUUCACUUUGAUAAUAGAGGAGAUAGACAAAUUAAAACAUUAUAUUGUCUCUGGGGGCAGAGGUAGGAUGCAGUACAUAGGGUCCACAACCCCACCUGGCUCACAUAAUCUCCAAGGACUUCUCCUCCCUCCUCCAGCACCCCUGCCCCCCUAACUUGAAGUUCUGGAUCCACCACUGAUUGACCCCACAACAAUUACCAAAACCAAAAGUAUGAGCUUUGGAUUUUAAAAAAAAAAAAUGAUGCCUAAAACAGUAAGAAUUCCUUCAGAAUAUUCUUUUAAAUACCUGGUUUGAGAUCUCUGUGUAUAAUCCCAUUUGCAUGCAGACAGUCCAUCGCUCGAGCAGUGUCAAGGGCAAAAUUCAAAGCCACAUGAAGCUCUAAUUGUUUUGGACGAAUGCUAUUCAAAUACUUACGGAGUGACAUCCCAGGCAAUAGCUCAGUUACUAUCACCAUCAGUGGAUCUUUACAAGCUCCAAUAAACUGCAAGGCCGAGAAGCAUACCAUGCAAAGUUAAAUGGAAAUGAAAUGGGCAGAUGACAGAUACAAUAUAGUAAAAACAGAUAACCAACACCAGCAAAAUAAUAAUAAAGGGAAUCUCACAGACAGACGGUUAAUUUCAAUGGCCACCUUGACAAGAUUCUCAUGUUUUACUCGAGACAUCAUGUUAACUUCACGGGCAAAACGAUUCUCCAAUGCAGCUCUUUCUUCUGAACUACUCCCUCGACUAAGCACUUUGACAGCAACAAUUUGAUCACCAUACCUGGAAAAUAUUUGACCGCACCUACAUAACAAGGACACUAGCUGCCAGAAAAACUACUCUUGGACACUCGGUGCGAAGGCACAACUGCACAUUUUAUUCAAUGGAACAGGAUCUAGAAAUAGUUUAUACGACCAAACUUAGACAAAAUUUAAAUAUGAAAAGCAUACUUUAAAACUACAUGUCAUUUUACAUGCCAAUGAGGCCUUCAGAUCUCAAUUGCACAUAUUAAAAAAUAUUCCAACAAUUAUGAAGAAUAGCAUAGAUUUCUAGCUUUUCAUAUAAUGGAUAAUCAAAUCAAUUUUCUUAUACAAAUUCGGUUGUCAUUACAUAUCCAUUAUAACAAGGGGGAAAAAAAAAGAAACUUUAAGGGGCAACACAGAAUCCAGCCAUGGCUAAAAUUUGAUUCCGAAGACUGGCUACCUCAUUCUCACUACAGCAAUAUUUACCUCAAAAAUUAAAAAAAAA